rnacentral:rRNA from 1 species
AUUGAACGCUGGCGGCAGGCUUAACACGUGCAAGUCGAGCGGAGAUGAGGUGCUUGCACCUUAUCUUAGCGGCGGACGGGUGAGUAAUGCUUAGGAAUAUGCCUAUUAGUGGGGGACAACAUUCCGAAAGGAAUGCUAGUACCGCAUACGUCCUACGGGAGAAAGCAGGGGAUCUUCGGACCUUGCGCCAAUAGAUGAGCCGAAGUCGGAUUAGCUAGUUGGUGGGGUAAAGGCCUACAAAGGCGACGAGCUGUAGCGGGUCUGAGAGGAUGAUCCGCCACACUGGGACUGAGACACGGCCCAGACUCCUACGGGAGGCAGCAGUGGGGAAUAUUGGACAAUGGGGGAAACCCUGAUCCAGCCAUGCCGCGUGUGUGAAGAAGGCCUUAUGGUUGUAAAGCACUUUAAGCGAGGAGGAGGCUACUGAGACUAAUACUCUUGGAUAGUGGACGUUACUCGCAGAAUAAGCACCGGCUAACUCUGUGCCAGCAGCCGCCGUAAUAC